rnacentral:lncRNA from 1 species
CCUCUCGGCUGGGAUUUCCAGGUGCCUGUCUGUCUUCUGCUACACUUCAUCCUGCCAAUACUGUUUACAGAGAGAAACCUCCAGGCCAAUGCCAAGCUGCCUUUAGUCCUACCCAACUCCCCGAGCCUCCUGUCCUCACUGGUGCCAAAGAACUAGAGAAAACUGAGGUUGCGGAGGGCUGCUCUUCCAAAAUAACCACAACUGUCAGCACGCCAGGUGAGGUCUCGACAGUACCUGGGCUCAGCCGUAAAUUUGCUUCAAUGUCAGAGGGGGCACUGGGAGCUGGGUGAGGCCAGGCAAUGAGAGAAGGCACUUCACAAACUUUCUGGGAUUGAUUGUCCCAGUUUCUGGAAAACACUGGGACAUCUGAGUCUGCAGCUGUGGCUGGGCAGCCACAACUGUGCCUGAAUAGGUGAGGCACAGCCCUGGGUUUCUCUCCCUCACUGCACCUGGAAUUUUGACAGCAGCCCCUUUAAAUGGGUUACUGUUAACAUUGCUUACAGCACUUCUCUCAUUGCAGAAUGACUUCCGGUGAACCUAAAAAUCUCUACUCUCUGAUUAUGCCUUUGUCUUUAUAUUGACAAACCCUAUCCUGAAGCAGUCAGUCAACAUUAGCA